GACGAACGCUGGCGGCGUGCUUAACACAUGCAAGUCGAACGGGAUGAUCUUAAAGCUUGCUUUUAGAGAAUCUAGUGGCAAACGGGUGAGUAACACGUAGACAACCUGCCGACAGGAUGGGGACAACAUUCCGAAAGGAAUGCUAAUACCGAAUGAAGCGGAGGAGAGGCAUCUCUCCUCCGUGAAAGAUGGCCUCUGAACAUGCUAUCACCUGUCGAUGGGUCUGCGUCUGAUUAGCUGGUUGGUGAGGUAACGGCUCACCAAGGCGACGAUCAGUAGCCGGUCUGAGAGGAUGAACGGCCACAUUGGGACUGAGACACGGCCCAGACUCCUACGGGAGGCAGCAGUGGGGAAUCUUCCGCAAUGGGCGCAAGCCUGACGGAGCAACGCCGCGUGAGUGAAGAAGGUCUUCGGAUCGUAAAGCUCUGUUGACGGGGACGAACGUGCGAGAGGUGAAUAAAC
rnacentral:rRNA from 1 species